UACGUAGGGUGCAAGCGUUAAUCGGAAUUACUGGCGUAAAGCGUGCGCAGGCGGUUAUGUAAGACAGUUGUGAAAUCCCCGGGCUCAACCCUGGGAACUGCAUCUGUGACUGCAUAGCUAGAGUGCGGUAGGGGAGACGUGGAAAUUCCUGGUGUAGCGGUGAAAUGCGCAGAUAUCAGGAGGAACACCGGUGGCGAAGGCGGGUCUCUGGGCGAGUGAACUGACGCUGGAGGAGCGAAAGCGUCGGGGAGCGAACAGG
rnacentral:rRNA from 1 species